rnacentral:lncRNA from 10 species
ACAACUUUCUCCGUAUCAGCAAUAAGGUUGUUUUGCUUUCCUAUCUUUCUGUGUUCACUGGAGUAGCACUUUUAAUUUCCUUCAAGAACUUCUCCUUUGCAUUCACUUGAACACUUAGAAGCCACCGUAGGGUUAACUGGCCUUAUUUCUAUAUUGCUGUGUCUGGGAAUAGGGAGGGCUGAGAAGAGGGAGAGAGGCUGGGGAAUGGUCACACAGUGGGGCGCUCAGAACACAUGCAUCAUUUAUGGAUGAAGGCUGCCCCUUAUAU